rnacentral:rRNA from 1 species
CCUACGGGAGGCUGCAGUGAGGAAUAUUGGUCAAUGGGCGCUAGCCUGAACCAGCCAAGUAGCGUGAAGGAUGACUGCCCUAUGGGUUGUAAACUUCUUUUAUUGAGGACGAAACAAAUGAUGGUACUCAAUGAAUAAGCCACGGCUAACUACGUGCCAGCAGCCGCGGUAAUACGUAGGUGGCAAGCGUUAUCCGGAUUUACUGGGUGUAAAGGGCGUGUAGGCGGGACUGCAAGUCAGAUGUGAAACCCAUGGGCUCAACCCAUGGCCUGCAUUUGAAACUGUAGUUCUUGAGUGAUGGAGAGGCAGGCGGAAUUCCGUGUGUAGCGGUGAAAUGCGUAGAUAUACGGAGGAACACCAGUGGCGAAGGCGGCCUGCUGGACAUUAACUGACGCUGAGGCGCGAAAGCGUGGGGAGCAAACAGGAUUAGAUACCCCUGUAGUC